rnacentral:ncRNA from 1 species
UAAGAUAAGAACAGCCUAUGGAGCUUUAAUGCAAAUAAAAAUUCAAAAGCCUACAGGCCUUAGCAUACCGUCUUUGCAUUAAAAUUUUGGUUGGGGUGACCUCGGAAUAUAAUUCAACCUCCAAACAGCCUAGACUAAGACCGCACUAGUGUAAGUGAGCUGACACACAUUGAUUCAAUAAUUUGAUCAACAGAAGAAGUUACCCUAGGGAUAACAACACAACCCUAUUCUAGCGUCCAUAUAGACAAGGGUUUACAACCUCGAUGUUGGAUCAGGCCAUCCUAAUGGUGUAGCCUCUAUUAAGGGUUCAUUUGUUCAACAAUUAAAGUCCUACGUGAUCUGAGUUCAGAUUAGAGUAAUCCAGGUCAGUUUCUAUUUA